rnacentral:rRNA from 1 species
CCUACGGGCGGCUGCAGUGGGGAAUAUUGGACAAUGGGGGCAACCCUGAUCCAGCCAUGCCGCGUGUGUGAAGAAGGCCCUCGGGUUGUAAAGCACUUUCAGUGAGGAAGAACGCCUGGUGGUUAAUACCCAUCAGGAAAGACAUCACUCACAGAAGAAGCACCGGCUAACUCCGUGCCAGCAGCCGCGGUAAUACGGAGGGUGCGAGCGUUAAUCGGAAUUACUGGGCGUAAAGCGCGCGUAGGUGGCUUGAUAAGCCGGUUGUGAAAGCCCCGGGCUCAACCUGGGAACGGCAUCCGGAACUGUCAAGCUAGAGUGCAGGAGAGGAAGGUAGAAUUCCCGGUGUAGCGGUGAAAUGCGUAGAGAUCGGGAGGAAUACCAGUGGCGAAGGCGGCCUUCUGGACUGACACUGACGCUGAGGUGCGAAAGCGUGGGUAGCAAACAGGAUUAGAUACCCCUGUAGUC